GAUGAGCUUUUCCUUUUUCCCUCUUAUGUAUAUUUCGAUAGUCUCGGCAAGAAACGCGUGUUUUUCUUUCUCUAGGCGUUUAACUAUUUCAGCCUUUUGCCAAUCUACUCGUAUGUCGUGUUCAGAGGCUGCCAUUGUGAGGGCUGUAUUGGUUUUUCCGGUGCUUAUGUCUUUGUGCUCAUUGAGCCUCCAACUGAGAUUUCUAGUGGUUACCCCUACAUAAAUUUUGUCUUCAUUUGCGGUGUUAUUGCGGACCGGAAUCUUGUAUACAUCUGCUUGCUGGUUAUUCUUUAACUUGUCUUUUUCAUUUUUGAGUCAACUAUAUAAGGUAGGAUACCUCCUGUAAGUUAAUCUUUUAUUCACUUUUUGUACUAUGUUCUUAAUCAC
rnacentral:lncRNA from 1 species